GGGGGCGAAAUGGGUUCGACCGGGUAGCUAGAAGUGAUGGUGGCGUGUCGUGGUUGGUCAGUUGGCCACGUAAAAAGCUGACUAAUAACUUUAAGUGCAGAUGCAAAUCUAGCAUUGGCAGCCUAACAAGGUUGUCCUGACUGAGGGGGUCCGCCGGAGACGCCCGAUUGUCAGUCGCAAUUCCGGAUCGUUCUUUACCGCGCAGGGCACGUAAAGGGCUAAAAACCGCUCCCAGCUGGCUUGCUCAGUAGCCUCGUCAAUAUGGCGACUGAGUGAGUAAGAACCAAACAAUUGACUACACACGUAGAGGCUAUCAUGGAAAUAUCGCGGGACGCGGGUUCAAUUCCCGCCGCCUCCACC
rnacentral:tmRNA from 1 species